GCUUCGCUGUCCGAGUUGUAAUUUAGAGAAGUGUUACCCGUUCUGGACCGUGUACAAGUCUCCUGGAACGGAGCGUCAUAGAGGGUGAGAAUCCCGUCUUUGACACGGACUCCCAGUGCAUUGUGGUACGCUCUCAAAGAGUCGUGUUGUUUGGGAAUGCAGCACUAAAUGGGUGGUAAAUUCCAUCUAAAGCUAAAUAUUGGCGAGAGACCGAUAGCAAACAAGUACCGUGAGGGAAAGAUGAAAAGAACUUUGGAAAGAGAGUUAAACAGUACGUGAAAUUGUUGAAAGGGAAACGCUUAAAGUCCAGUCGCGUUGGUUGGAAAUCAGUCUUGCUUCUGCUUGAUGUACUUUCUAACUGACGGGUCAGCAUCAGUUUUGACCGUUGGAUAAAGGUUGGAGGAAUGUGGCAUCUUCGGGUGUGUUAUAGCCUUCAAUUGUAUACAACGGUUGGGACUGAGGAACUCAGCACGCCGAAAGGCCGGGUCUUGUACCACGUUCGUGCUUAGGAUGCUGGCAUAAUGGCUUUAAUCGACCCGUCUUGA
rnacentral:rRNA from 1 species